rnacentral:rRNA from 1 species
GUCCGUUAACAAGGUUUCCGUAGGUGAACCUGCGGAAGGAUCAUUACCCACUGUGGGCUGCCUCCGGGCGCCCAACCUCCCACCCGUGACUACCUAACACUGUUGCUUCGGCGGGGAGCCCCCUAGGGGCGAGCCGCCGGGGACCACUGAACUUCAUGCCUGAGAGUGAUGCAGUCUGAGCCUGAAUACAAAUCAGUCAAAACUUUCAACAAUGGAUCUCUUGGUUCCGGCAUCGAUGAAGAACGCAGCGAACUGCGAUAAGUAAUGUGAAUUGCAGAAUUCAGUGAAUCAUCGAGUCUUUGAACGCACAUUGCGCCCCCUGGCAUUCCGGGGGGCAUGCCUGUCCGAGCGUCAUUGCUGCCCUCAAGCCCGGCUUGUGUGUUGGGUCGUCGUCCCCCCCGGGGGACGGGCCCGAAAGGCAGCGGCGGCACCGUGUCCGGUCCUCGAGCGUAUGGGGCUUUGUCACCCGCUCGAUUAGGGCCGGCCGGGCGCCAGCCGGCGUCUCCAACCUUAUUUUUCUCAGGUUGACCUCGGAUCAGGUAGGGAUA